CUGUUAUCCCCACGGUAAUUUGUUUUAUCCUUUUUAGGGUUUAUUUGUUUUAUGACUUAAAAAGAUUUGGUUUUGAACCGCCCCAGUUAAAAACCUAUUUGAAAUUCGAUGGGGUCUUGUCGUCUUCUCUUUGAAUUUAAGUCUUUUUACUUAAAUGGAAAUUUAAAGUAAUUAAAAUAAUAAAGAGUCCUACUCGUUUAUCCUUUCAUUCUAUCCUUUAAUUAAAAGGCAAAUGAUUAUGCUACCUUAGCACAUUGGAUUGCGGCUAUUUAAAAGUCAUUGAGCAGGAAGUACUAAUUA
rnacentral:rRNA from 1 species